UGGGGAAUAUUGCACAAUGGGCGCAAGCCUGAUGCAGCCAUGCCGCGUGUGUGAAGAAGGCCUUCGGAUUGUAAAGCACUUUCAGCGAGGAGGAAGGUGGUGAGCUUAAUACGCUCAUCAAUUGACGUUACUCGCAGAAGAAGCACCGGCUAACUCCGUGCCAGCAGCCGCGGUAAUACGGAGGGUGCAAGCGUUAAUCGGAAUUACUGGGCGUAAAGCGCACGCAGGCGGUUUGUUAAGUCAGAUGUGAAAUCCCCGGGCUCAACCUGGGAACUGCAUUUGAAACUGGCAAGCUAGAGUCUCGUAGAGGGGGGUAGAAUUCCAGGUGUAGCGGUGAAAUGCGUAGAGAUCUGGAGGAAUACCGGUGGCGAAGGCGGCCCCCCUGGACGAAGACUGACGCUCAGGUGCGAAAGGCGUGGGGCAGCAAACAGGAUUAGAUACCCUGGUAGUCCAGCGCUGUAAACGAUGUCGAUUUUGGAGGUUGUGCCCUUGAGGCGUGGCUUCCGGAGCUAACGCGUUAAAGUCGACCGCCUGGGGGAGU
rnacentral:rRNA from 1 species